rnacentral:lncRNA from 1 species
GCUAGGUGAUGACUCAAUUUUGCCACCACUAUUCCCUAUUCAAACUACUGUUCUGCAAAAUAAUUAUUUCUGUAUUGCACAAAUGAUGCUGCCUGGCCUUCACUUGAUAAGAAUGCUUCAUUUACAUAUUAAGUCUACUUCUGGUUUUUCUCAGCCUAUGGUGAGUAAAGUGGUACUAUUGGGGGGGUCAACACAAUUAUGAAAAGGAAAUAAAUUGAGAGGUUGUCCUCAGUUAGAAGGUGAUUAAGGGGAUCCCAACUAUGCAAAUACUAAUUUUUUAGAUUAGCAUCAAAAUGAAAACAUAAUAUUUUUCCAUUUCUUAUAGAUUCUUAUGAUUCCUCAGAGGUCUUGACACUCCACUGGAAAAACAUAGCUCCAAGAAAGGAAAGCAAGAAGAUCUUUGGAGUCAGGGAAAUCCUGAUAUUUCACACUUUGGUUUUGCAUGAAGAGUUUGGCUUCAAUCGGCUCAGUGGACUGGCAGGUCAUGCCCUAUUUAACACUCAAGUGGUAAGAAAGUCAAAAUUGAAGGGGUUUUAUAGUGAGUCCCAAAUGGCCUUUCUAAUUGCAGUUAUGUUUUUCAAUAACUUGAAUUACUCUACCACUUUAUUUCAGCAAUGAAGAGCUGUUAGAAGACAUAUUAACACCCUCAAAUACCUAAAAUCAAUGUUAGUUGGAGAUAUUCAUAGACAUCAACUAAAGGAAUUUUUAAAAAAAAAGACAUUGAACACCAGGUAGUGGUUAUUUCUAUGGUAGCAGCAUAAUGGCAGGCUUUGGUUGUCACUAUAAACAAGUCUUUGAUAUACUGCUUUAGAAUGCAAUGCAGUAAAGUGGUAUCAUUGUGAAAGUCUAAAAAAAAAUUCAUUUACAUGAUGCCAGAAAGUUUUGCCCUAGUAUUAUGCAAAUGAAUACUCAUGGCUCAGGAUAAAAUUUCCAGAGCUUUAUCUCAAACAAUAUAGAUUGAAAUGAAGACUGUGUCCUCUGGGAAAAUGUUAAGUUCUUAAAAGUGGAACUGUUAUCAACAGUUCAAGUGAAGAAUUUAGUUUAUGUAUUUUGGAUUUUCUAUACU